AGAACUGGGGAUCAAAGAAAUAAAAAUCGAAGAGCUGAAGGACGGAAGCUGAAGAACUGAUUUCAUCAAAUUUGUUUACUAGAGGAAUUGAUAUUCAAGCAGUUAACGUUGUUAUCAAUUCUGAUUUUCCUAAGAACUCAGAAACGUAUUUGCACAGGGGAAAUGGAGGUGAUCAAAUUUGAAGUGGAUGAUGAAGAGUUUUUGAACUAUUG